UUCUCCUCUUCAACCUCCAUUCUCCCCCUCUCCCUUCUUUUCCUCUCUCUUUCACCCUCCCCCACUCUUUCGUGUCUCUUUCCUCCUCUGAAUAACCAAGCUGUUUUGCUUCCGAAAGUAGAGAGAGAGGGAGAGAGAGAGAGAGAGAGAGAGAGAGAGAGAGAGAGAGAGGAGAGAGAGGCCUUGCUGUGAAUGGAAGACAGGAGGGACUCUGGUACAUCUGGGAGUGGAAACUUGAUGCUUCUGGGCUGUGAUUUGCCAAGGUCUCGCCAAAGACGCCUAAAGGAGCCUGUUUGUGUGCUGUGUGGCCACGUUCUGCUGUGACUGGAUCUUGUCUUCUGCCUGGCUCCUCGAUUUCCGUCCGGCUGGAUUUGGGGACAACACUGCCUGGCGCAGACAGAUCAAAUGACACUUCAAAGAAGCAUAAAAUGAACAGACUAUUCAAACAAAGGAUGGUGCUGGGGCAGAUGGAGUGAGAGUGACUUUCAAGCUCACUUAAAUAUGGGAGUUCUUAUAUGUCUGACAAACUCUUGAUGUCCUGAGUGCAAAAUAUCUAGAUAAGUGUAAUCCUCACCUUUCAUCAAGGAAAUCUGUCUGUGCAGUAGAUGGAGACCAUUACAGAAAACCACAAGUGAUCAGAAUGAAGACUUCUGGAGGCUAGCCCAACUGAUACAUUAACAACACAGUUCCUGAACCUAAAGCUCUCAGAUCAUGGUAGAAGAGAAAGCAAAAGGACAAACAGGCAGAAGAUCCCAGAGUUUGCUGUGAGAACACAUUUCCUAGGAACAUUAGAAGCUACGCCCAGAAAGGCUCACCAACGUGACUGUCUACAGGAAGGAAUUUAAAAAUGUGAUACUAAUUCUUUACAUUCUAGGGCAAGUGAAUACAUGUAAAGUAGCCAAUACUUUUAUUGUUACUAACAAGAACUUUUCUUCAACAAUGAAUUCACUGUUGGACUUCCACGCUGUUUUUGCAUCAUCAGCAAGUUAUACUUUAUCUGUGGUUUCUAAUGAGAGUAAAAAGCAUUGAGUAAUGACUCGAGUCAGUGCUUUUCCAGAGGACCUGGGUUCAAUUCUUAGUACCCAAUGGCUCACAGCUAUCUGUAACUCCAACCCCAAAGGGUUGGAUACCUCUUCUGGCCUGCCAUGAGUAUUGCAUGCACAUGUUGCAAAACACUCAUACACAUAAAGUCAUAAUUUUUUAAAAUUUAUGUUGAGUAUGAAUGCAAAAAUGUAGAUAUAAACAACAGCAGAUUUUUCUGGAUUCUCAGUGUUCCCUCUAGAAAAUAUUGCACAAUUGUCCUUUUAAAAGCACGCAUCAAGCCACACUUCCUCAAGAGUCUUACUGAUAUUUUCUUCUCCAAAUACUUUGCACCUCACAUUUUAUUAGCUUAUGUGGUGUGUAAUUAAAUUGUAAUAGUGAAUGACAGAAUUCUCCUUUAAGAAUAAACAUAAUGGUAACGUGG
rnacentral:lncRNA from 1 species